UUUAAAAAUUACAACCAAGUGCUGGGAAUGCAGGCCUUGCCUCCGCUGUGAGGAGCCCGUUUCCCAACCGGAGCUGAUAACUGACGGCUGCAGACGCGUCAGACAAAAGAAAAGGGAAAACCCUGAAAGGAUUGCUCGGUGUUACCAGCAGAGUGACGAAGAGGAGGACGGCAGGGCUGAAGGCAGGAGGCGAGGGGCCGCCCCGUAAGGUGCGCACCCACACUCCAGGGUCUCAUCGCCACAUCCGCGGGCACGUAACCUGCGUAAUUAAAUUAUCCGGCUGGACCCAAGCCUGCGCCUCCAAAGCCUGACUCCUCUGCCUCCCGUUCUGAAAAAAUGCAAACGUAAAUAAACAGCGUCAUCACGGCCACCUAAUUGAGACUUGGGAACAGGAAAGAGUCACGACGCUGUGGCUUCAAAUACCAGAAGCAGUGACUGGAUUAGAAAGGAGAUUGGCGAUUUCAGCGAAUCCGAGGCCAGACCUCAGGGCCCCAGUCCUCUGCCGCCCUCAGCACGUCUGUGGAUCCCCCACCGUCUCGAGAUGGCCACUUGCAUUGGUUCUGGGUGUUGCCUCCAGGAAUGACAGCUUCCAGAAGCAGGGAGACACGGUCUCUCUGUGGGCUUCUCCUGGGUUACCCUGAAGACCUCCUCUUGACCAACUGGCCAGAACUGCAUCCUAAGCCUGUGGUGCAGAUCAACCCCUGGUUGAAGGCCGGGGGUGACCUCGGCAGAUCACUGUCCGACUGGCAUUCGGGACAGUGAUCUGCACAGGUGUGCCCAGGCCUGGCAGGGCAUUUAACGUCCCCGGCCUCUGACAGUGCCCCCGCCCCCACGGUUCCAGCACCCGUGUUUAUACACCAGUGGUCUACACUUUCUGCGGCUGAGACUGGCCAUCCUUCCCUGGAGCAGGUGGCUUCCCUAAGGAGGGGGUCACACCAGCCGAGGGAGACUCCGUAAUGACAGGUGGGGCAUGUGGAUGGGGCCAGGCCACCAGCAAAGUCGCCGCUUGCGCUCGUUGGUGAAACUGAUCCAGGGUGCUGUGUGCCUUCUUUUCAUCAGAUCUGCCGUUGUAGCCUGGUAAGCCGAGCGGGGGAACCCCCGCAGCCCUCUGACAGGCGGCCUGCGCCUUCUGCAGACUGGCCGCUGGAGCCCACGUCCCCUUUCAGUAGUUUAUAGUCUGUGGCUGUUGGUCUCUUCUUGUUUGCUCCCUUCUCUUGGGUCAACUUUGAUCAUUUAAGUCUUGAUACAUCCAUUUCUCAAGUCUUCUAGUUUACAUUCAUGAUGUUUUCUAAGUUUGUAAAAUCUCCCCUGUGGCUGGGUUACUGUUCUUUUCUUAAGAGUAUUUGUGUUUUUCCUCUGAGGCAGCCACUACUCAUGGUCACCCCAAACCCAUUCCUGUCCUCCUGAAAGACAGAGCCUGCCUGUGUUUGGAACGGCGAUGUGUCAGCUGGAACUCCUGGCCUCCCUUGUGGCCAUGUGUGGCCGUGUGACCAAGUUCUAGGGGGAUUGGGGGGAUUUUUGCUUUCCUCUUUGACACUUCCUUCUUUCUCCUCCUUAGCACACAGAAAUGAGCCCUGAGGAGGAGUAACUGGUCUCUGCUGUGAGGCUGGAAGCAGCUGCAGGAACCGGGGAGGGAAGGCCCUGUGGCCGCGCCCCACGGCCUCCCCCGCAGGCUCCGAAUGAUGUUCUGGGGAAAAAUAGUAAACUUCUCACUCCUCCACACCCAAACAGCUGUGUCCCGAUCUCAGGCGGUCAGAAGUGGAUCCUAGAGGGGCGCCUGGGGGGCUCAGUCAGUUAAGCAUCCAACUUUGGCUCAGGUCAUAAUCUCACCGUUC